rnacentral:rRNA from 1 species
CGCCUCUUGCUAACAAAGGAAGUACUAGAGGUCCCGCCUGCCCUGUGACCACAAAGUUUAACGGCCGCGGUAUCCUGACCGUGCGAAGGUAGCGUAAUCAUUUGUCUUUUAAAUAGAGACCUGUAUGAAUGGCAUAACGAGGGUUUAACUGUCUCCUUCCCCCAGUCAAUGAAAUUGAUCUGCCCGUGCAGAAGCGGACAUAAAUACAUAAGACGAGAAGACCCUAUGGAGCUUUAGACAAAAGAUCAAACAUGUAAAGAAACCAAAACAACCAAAAGGAACACGAAGGCCACAAAACCCAACGUAAACUGAUCUAAAUGUCUUCGGUUGGGGCGACCAUGGGGGAAAGAAAAGCCCCCACGAGGAACAGGGACAACCCUAAACUAAGAGGGACACCUCUAAGCAACAGAAAAUCUGACCAAAAUGACCCAGGAUA